AUUGAACGCUGGCGGCAUGCCUUACACAUGCAAGUCGAACGGCAGCACGGGAGCAAUCCUGGUGGCGAGUGGCGAACGGGUGAGUAAUAUAUCGGAACGUGCCCAGUCGUGGGGAUAACGUAGCGAAAGCUACGCUAAUACCGCAUACGAUCUAUGGAUGAAAGCGGGGGAUCGCAAGACCUCGCGCGAUUGGAGCGGCCGAUAUCAGACCCCCCUUAGGUAGUUGGUGAGGUAAAGGCUCACCAAGCCGACGAUCUGUAGCUGGUCUGAGAGGACGACCAGCCACACUGGGACUGAGACACGGCCCAGACUCCUACGGGAGGCAGCAGUGGGGAAUUUUGGACAAUGGGCGCAAGCCUGAUCCAGCAAUGCCGCGUGCAGGAUGAA
rnacentral:rRNA from 1 species